CAGAGCAGUAAUAUUUUACAACAUAACUACAGUUUCCUGGGAAGAUGGUCAUGUGCAGACGGGUUGCAGAGAGAAGGAAAUUGUUUCACCUUCAUCUUCCUGGGCCAUUUCCAGAUAUGAAUUGCAGAGAAAUAUUUCAAUAUAUCCUCACCCAAAUGUGCUUUUAAAAGUACAUUUCUUUUUAAUAUAAUAAGAUUUAUAUUCUUUGUGUUUGUUUAGAGGGUAAACCUGGAUUUGUAUUUCUAGAAGUUGCUUUCAAUGAAGAAAUUUGAAAGAAAUAGUAUUUCAGAAAAAUCAAAACAAGCCAUAGAAAUCUAGUAUUUUUCGGAUGCUAUACUGGGCUGCAUGAAGUCUAAAUCCAUAAUAUGUAUGAAUAAUGUAUUCUAAAGUAAAUACUAUAUUUUGUUAAAUUA